rnacentral:misc_RNA from 1 species
AGGGCGCAAAGUUCUGGCAGAGCAGCGGCUUUGUGCCCGUCGAGUACGGCAUGCGGCGGCGCGUCGACGACCGCAUCGCGUGGGCGAACCGCUGACCUGCGACAGUAGCGAAGGCAGGCGAUGAGCAAGAGCUACGACCUCAAAGCACUGAUUGACGACACGACGGCCGUGGUGCGCGUAACCUCGGACGACGGCGAACGCUGCGACCGUAUCACGCCGUACCUGCGCCGCUGGAUGGACGGCGGCGCAGCACUGCCGGAGGCGUACAUCGUGCCGUGCGACGGCCGCGCCUGCGGCCAUCUGCUGUACACAGACCCUGAGGGCGAGUACUUCGUAAUCUCGGUGGUGUUUCCGUCCGGGACGAGCAGCGGCGUGCACUAUCACGGCGCCUGGGGCGUCAUCGGCAUCCUGCAGGGCACCGACGAGGAGACGAAGUACCAGCGCGACGUUUCCCCGGAUGACGUCGGUGUCGGCCAGCCGUGCGAGUUGCGGACGGUCGAAAAGAUCAACUCGCCGGCGGGCACGAUCACGUACCUGCGGCCGCCGCAGGAAGGGUUUCACCGCGUGAAGGCUGCCGGCGCCGAGGCCGGCGUCUCGCUGCACAUCCUGGGCGGCACGCCGGACACGCACCCGCACUUCUUCUGCGACGCCGACAGUAAGAUGCUCGUCGAUUUCCCCAUGGCGGGCAUCAUCACGCACGAACCGAUAUAUCGCUGAGUCAUGGCGAUCGAAGUAGCCCAAUUCGAGCGCUCCUUGCAUCUCGACGCAGCCGCAGGCCUGCUGGCCGCACGCCAACGUCGCGACCGCGCGCGCGACCCGUCGCUGCCUGCUACACACGAGUCGGCGUACGCCUGCCGCGCGCUGAUCGAGUCGGAGUUGACCGACAAGAGCGCGACCGCCGCUGUCGCUGUCGAUCAUGAUGGCGUCGCCGCGUUCAUGAUCAUGACGACGUUCCUGCCGGCGCCCACCGACAUGACCGCGUCGUUCCUACCGCAGCGAACGGUCCAACUGGGAUAUUCAGAGCACGCCGCACGCGAGGGCAUCGAGAUAGCGGCGUACCGCGCGCUGUACGCGCACCUGGCCGAGCACUUCGUCCGACGCGGCUACUUCGAUCACGUCGUGUACGUGUCGCCGAGGGACGCCACUGUGAAUGAGGCGUUCAUUUCGCUGGGCUUCGGGCGGACCCUGGACGCAUGCGUGCGCGGCGUCGAGCCGAUCACGGCGUCUGUGCCGGACGGUGUUGACGUGCACCAGGCGUCGACCGAAGACGCUGCGGUUGUCUUCGCGUUGAACCAGGAGCUUGCCAGGCAUCACGCGCAAUCGCCUAUCUUCUGGCCGCAUCUGCGCGAGGCUGACGCAUCGAGCGAGGCGUUCCAGUACGAAUUGCUCAAGAACCCCGCGUACGCGCACUUCAUCGCCUACGAGGGUGGGCGCGGCGUCGGCAUGAACAUGUUCAUGGCGCCUGACUGGAUCAACCCGAUGCUGCGCGGCGAGAAGCUGAUCUACCUGUACGAGGGCAUCGUCUCGGCACAGGCGCGGCGCGGCGGAUUGGGCAGGGUGAUCCUGGCGCGUGGCAUCGACUGGGCGCGCGAACAGGGCUACGAGCGCAUCGCGCUGCACUACGCCGCGCCGAACGUCGCUGGCGCGGCGUUCUGGCAGGGCGCCGGGUUCCGCCCCAUCGAGUACCGCCUGAGCCGGCAUAUAGAUGAACGGGUGGCAUGGGCGUCGUGACGGGCUAGUCCGCCGAUUCCAGCAGCAUCUCUUUAUAUGCCGCUUCGGUCAGGGUGCCAGCGGGAAUCCCGCGAGCGGCGAUCUGCUCCACAGCGGCCAGCGUCGCAUCGACGUCUGACUCGUCGUUGAAGAUGUGGAAGCAGGCACGCACGCGGCGGUCGUUGCACACCCGCAGCACCGCCUUCGCGAUACCGUAGAGCGCCGCGGCAGUUUCGCCGGGCGUGUGGUCGCGCACCGUGAACGUCACGAUGCCGCUGCGGACGGACGUGUCGAGAGGCGUCGUGAUGCGGACACCAUCGAUGCUGCGCAGCCCGUCGAUGAAGCGGUCGGCGAGAGCCAUACAUCUCGCCUCGAUGGCCGGAAGGCCAAGCGUCGCGAUCGCCGCCAUCGACGUCUCGAGCCCCGCGAGCACGGGGCCGCUGUGGGUGGUCAGCUCGAACUUGUGGAUGGAGUCGUUUGCGUAGU